rnacentral:snoRNA from 1 species
GCAUGGGUUUGUAUAUGUGGCAGGUCCGAUCCCAUGGGCGUCUCACAGUGUCCAGUGCCAAAGCCAACUGUCACCCCGAACCAUUGCCUGGCUUGAUUGAACUGCUGUGGUAGAGUU